rnacentral:rRNA from 1 species
GAUGAACGCUGACAGAAUGCUUAACACAUGCAAGUCAACUUGAACUUCGGUUUGGGUGGCGGACGGGUGAGUAACGCGUAAAGAACUUGCCUCACAGCUAGGGACAACAUUUGGAAACGAAUGCUAAUACCUGAUAUUAUGAUUAUAUGGCAUCGUAUAAUUAUGAAAGCUAUAUGCGCUGUGAGAGAGCUUUGCGUCCCAUUAGCUAGUUGGAGAGGUAACAGCUCACCAAGGCGAUGAUGGGUAGCCGGCCUGAGAGGGUGAUCGGCCACAAGGGGACUGAGACACGGCCCUUACUCCUACGGUAGGCAGCAGUGGGGAAUAUUGGACAAUGGACCGAGAGUCUGAUCCAGCAAUUCUGUGUGCACGAUGAAGUUUUUCGGAAUGUAAAGUGCUUUCAGUUGGGAAGAAAAAAAUGACGGUACCAACAGAAGAAGUGACGGCUAAAUACGUG